rnacentral:rRNA from 1 species
CAAGUCGAGCGGCAGCGCGGGGGCAACCCUGGCCGGCGAGCGGCGAACGGGUGAGUAAUGCAUCGGAACGUGUCCCGUAGUGGGGGAUAACGCCGCGAAAGCGGCGCUAAUACCGCAUACGCUCUACGGAGGAAAGUGGGGGAUUCGCAAGGACCUCACGUUAUGGGGGCGGCCGAUGUCCGAUUAGCUAGUUGGUGGGGUAAUGGCUUACCAAGGCGACGAUCGGUAGCUGGUCUGAGAGGAUGAUCAGCCACACUGGGACUGAGACACGGCCCAGACUCCUACGGGAGGCAGCAGUGGGGAAUUUUGGACAAUGGGGGCAACCCUGAUCCAGCCAUGCCGCGUGCGGGAAGAAGGCCUUCGGGUUGUAAACCGCUUUUAGCCGGGAAGAAAAGGCGCGAGUUAAUACCUCGUGUUUUUGACGGUACCGGCGGAAUAAGCACCGGCUAACUACGUGCCAGCAGCCGCGGUAAUACGUAGGGUGCGAGCGUUAAUCGGAAUUACUGGGCGUAAAGCGUGCGCAGGCGGUUCGUUGUGUCGGUGGUGAAAGCCCCGGGCUUAACCUGGGAAUGGCCAUGGAAACUGGCGAACUGGAUUGUGCAAAGGGGGGUGGAUUCCGCGUGUAGCAGUGAAAUGCGUAGA